GCACUGUCUUUGAACCUUUGAAUUGCCCUUUCUGUGGCUUCAUUGGCCAAGCAUCAGUGCAAGAAAAAGCUGUAUGUUUAUAACUGGUGCUGCUUGGCACAUCCCAAGUUGCACUUUUAAAAGCAUGCUACACUC